UAUUGGUAUGCUUAUGUUGUCUCUUUUUAGUCUACAGAUGCCUCCAAGGAGUCUGAAAACAAGUCUGAAGUCAAUGACAAGCAAUGAUGGCGAUGGUGAUCCUAGCAAAGAUUGGCACUGAAAGACUGACUCCUACAUAGCCAGUGACCACAGCUUCUGGAACAACAAAAGUAUUAAAUCAUUUAUCCUGAAUAUGGUCAAUGAGCAUGAGAUGAAGAAAUCUACCCAGUACGUGACCACAAAGCAACUCAAAAGCAGCUGGAUGGUCUGGGUAGCUUAUUUCUCUGGAGAGACUCUUAGAGAGUGGCUGCUGCUAUAGCGAUGCUGAGACUGCCUUUUGUGCCUGGAGGAGAUAAUUACUGUGCAUUUGAGAGCAUCAGUGUUCCUCCAGAAGAGACAUUUCUAAAUGCUGCUAGUGUGAAAAAUGAGCUUAUGUUCAUGUAUCCCCUGGGGGAAGGAAAACAGAAAUAAACAAGAAAAAUAAUGCUU